ACCUCCCCUGACCUAGCUCCUUCGCCUAUAUAUUCCCUAAAACACAGGAAAAAUAAAUAAGGGAAUCCACAAAAACACUUUUCCGCCGCCGCAAGCUUCCGUUUCCGCGAGAUCUCAUCUGGAGACCCUUCCCGGUGCCCUGCCGGAUGGGACUUUGGAGUUGGAGGGCUUCUACAUCAACAUCAUCGCCCCUCCAAUGACUCGUGAGUAGUUCACUUCAGACCACCGGGUCCGUAGUUAUUAGCUAGAUGGAUUCUUCUCUCUCUUGGAUCUUCAAUACAAAGUUCUUCAUGAUCUUCAUGGAGAUCUAUCCGAUGUAAUCCUCUUUGUCGGUGUGUUUGUCGAGAUCCGAUGAAUUGUGGAUUUGUGAUCAGAUUAUCUAUGAUAUAUAUUUGAGUCUUUG
rnacentral:lncRNA from 1 species